rnacentral:piRNA from 1 species
UGUCAAAGAUCAAGUGACCAUAGUGUGU